CAGAGUUGAUCAUGGCUCAGGACGAACGCUGGCGGCGCGCCUAACACAUGCAAGUCGAACGGAGCUUAGAGAGCUUGCUUUUUAAGCUUAGUGGCGAACGGGUGAGUAACGCGUGAGUAACCUGCCCUAGAGUGGGGGACAACAGUUGGAAACGACUGCUAAUACCGCAUAAGCCCACGGUACCGCAUGGUACUGAGGGAAAAGGAUUUAUUCGCUUUAGGAUGGACUCGCGUCCAAUUAGCUAGUUGGUGAGGUAACGGCCCACCAAGGCGACGAUUGGUAGCCGGACUGAGAGGUUGAACGGCCACAUUGGGACUGAGACACGGCCCAGACUCCUACGGGAGGCA
rnacentral:rRNA from 1 species